AGAGCGAACGCUGGCGGCAGGCCUAACACAUGCAAGUCGAGCGCCCAGCAAUGGGAGCGGCAGACGGGAGAGUAACACGUGGGAACGUACCCUUCAGUUCGGAACAACCCAGGGAAACUUGGGCUAAUACCGAAUACGUCCGUAAGGAGAAAGAUUUAUCGCUGAAGGAUCGGCCCGCGUCUGAUUAGCUAGUUGGUGGGGUAAUGGCCCACCAAGGCGACGAUCAGUAGCUGGUCUGAGAGGAUGAUCAGCCUCACUGGGACUGAGACACGGCCCAGACUCCUACGGGAGGCAGCAGUGGGGAAUAUUGGACAAUGGGCGCAAGCCUGAUCCAGCCAUGCCGCGUGGAUGAUGAAGGCCCUAGGGUUGUAAAGUCCUUUCGACGGGGAAGAUAAUGACGGUACCCGUAGAAGAAGCCCCGGCUAACUUCGUGCCAGCAGCCGC
rnacentral:rRNA from 1 species